rnacentral:rRNA from 1 species
GAUGAACGCUGACAGAAUGCUUAACACAUGCAAGUCUACCAAGAAUCACUUCGGUGAGGAAUGGUGGCGGACGGGUGAGUAACGCGUAAAUAAUCUGCCCUUUAGACUGGGAUAUCCUUUGGAAACGAAGGUUAAUACCGGAUAUUAUGAGAUGGACGCAUGUUCAACUUAUGAAAGCUAAAUGCACUAGAGGAGGAGUUUGCGUCCCAUUAGCUAGUUGGUGAGGUAAAGGCUCACCAAGGCCACGAUGGGUAGCCGGCUUGAGAGGGUGAACGGCCACAAGGGAACUGAGACAUGGUCCUUACUCCUACGGGAGGCAGCAGUGGGGAAUAUUGGACAAUGGACCAAAAGUCUGAUCCAGCAAUUCUGUGUGCACGAUGAAGGUCUUCGGAUUGUAAAGUGCUUUCAGUAGGGAAGAAAAAAAUGACGGUACCUACAGAAGAAGCGACGGCUAAAUAUGUGCCAGCAGCCGCAGUAA